AUGGUGACAGCUGAGGCACUGAACAUUGGCAAAAAACUGUAUGAGGGUAAAACAAGAGGUCUAUGAAUUGUUUGGUAGAUAGGCCAGGAAAAGUCCUCCUGCAGUCCAAGGACCAGUCUACAGCAGGAAAUGCAGUUAGAAUCACCUGGAAGGAAAGGCUGCAAUUUCAAAUAAAAUUACCAUUUGCAUUUUUCUAUUACAGGAAGCAGGUAUUAAAACUGCUUUCACUAGAAAAUGUGAGACAGCUUUCAUUGUGUCCUAGUGUGAAAUAAUUCCAGUUGAAUGGGUUUGCAACUGGUUCUUACUUCAAAAGAAAUCCUGGUGUCAAGGAAGGAUAUGAGUUUUACCCACCUAAAGUGGACAUGUUUUUCAAGGAUGAUACCCACAGUGGUCUAGGGAACAGCUAAUUGCAGCAAAAUUUGGCUUUGCUGUGCUUGGUAUAAAACUGAAGUGGAUAUCAUGAGUCAUGCUACACAGGCUGUUUUUGAAAUUCUGGAGAGAUCCUGGUUGCCCCCCAGCACUGUACACUGGUUGAUAUGAAGAUUGAAUUUGGUGUUGAUGUGACCAGCAAAGAAACUGUGCCCACUGAAGUUAUUGAUACUGAUUCCUAGAGACACUGACCAUCAGGAGAUCAGAGCCAAUAGAAAGACAGUCUUUUAAUCAUACUUUAAAAAAUUGUAACUCCUAAAGGUUUGCAGAUGGUAAAGACAAACUUUGCGUGGGUUGUAGAGAGUAGAGUCGCUUUUGAAAUCAGAGUCAGUGCAGUCUUGCAGUACUGUUGGGUUCUAUUUCUGAUCUUAAGUCACUGUGAAAAAAUUCAAGAAGGCCUGUGGAAAUUUGGCAUUCCAUGUGGACUUUGAGUAAUAUCUGCACAUAAAGGACUAGAUGAAACUCUGAGGAUUAAAGCUGAGUAUGCAGAGGGGGCAUUCAUACUGUAUUUGUGGCAGGGAGAAGCAAUGGUUUGGGAACACUGCUUAUCCAGUUAUCUGCUGUCCUCCCCUUACACCAGACUGAGGCAUUCAGGAUGUGUGGUCUCAGCUGUUCAACCAUACUUUCUCCAGAAGGAUGAGCACAGUUUGCUGCUCAUAUAUUUGGAUUAAACAACCAUUUAUUAUGGGGCAAACUGAAAGUAAGCACUUUGAACACAUGGAUUUCCUGGAAGAAAGGUGACAAAAUCAGAGAAAGAACAUCAUUGCAUUUUUUUAGGGGGAAAAGUACACUUUUCUAAUUUAGCUGCAGAAAAAUCAAGCAAGAUGAAAAAAAUUACAGAACACACAAAAAAUAUAUUAGUGAAUACAUGCUUCUCUAGAUUAAAAAAAAUUCACAAUGUAAUUAAAACAGGUAAGUGCUGUGAAAAAUAGAAACAUGGUGACAUAAGAAGAGCCUGACAGGCGGAACCGAAGCAAGUCCUGAGAGUGUAAGCCAGCUUCCCCAAGGAAGUGACAUUUGAACCGAGAUCUGAAGGACAGAGUUGAUAAAUGAAGUAGAGAAAGGGAGUGCUGAGGGCAGAGGGCAACUGCAUGGGUAGAGGCUGGGAGCAAGAUGAAUACAGUGUGGCCCAAGUAAUUAGGAAGUGCCAGUGGCUGGAGUGCAGAGACAGCAGGGCAGUUUAGCUAGACACAAGAGUAAGGGAGGCAAGGUGUUUGGUCUUUAUGGCAGAGGAAAGGCAUUUAUUGAAGUGACAUUUAAAAAAAUUACUGAUGGUUGGGCACGGUAGCUUACGCCUCUAUUCCCAGCACUUUGGGAGGCUGAGGCAUGUGGAUCACUUGAGGUCAGAAGUUUGAGAUCAGCCUGGCCAAGGUGGUGAAACCCGCCUCUACUGGAAAAAACACAAAAAUUAGCUUAGUGUGGUGGUGGGUGCCUGUAAUCCCAGCUAUUCAGGAAGCUGAGGCAGGAGAAUCACUUGAACCUGGGAGGCAGAGGUUGCAGUGAGCCGAGAUUUUGCCACUGCACUCCAGCCUGGGUGACAGAGUAAGACCAUGUCUCAAAAAAAAAAAAAAAAAAAAAAAAAAUUGACAAUAUGAAUAUUGCCAGGAUAUGAGAACUGAGAUAAAUCCUAUUUUACCUUCAAUUUCUACUUUAAAAUCAGCUAUGCUCUUUUGGAGAAAAAAAUUCCCUAGUUGGAAACUUCAGCUAAAUAGAUGUAAGAUGGGAGUCAGCCCCUCGGGGAUUGGGAGUGCUCUGUAGUUAUGCGGAGGUUCCCCAGGGCUCUUCCUGGUCAGGCCUAUUGCUCACUCUGGAGGUCUAGAACUCUACAAUGACUGCUAGAGGUGGAUUAAAACAUUUCAUCAGAUCAUGUGAUUAUUAAACACCAUUUUUUAAAUGAAUUCCAACUUUACAAGUUCAGGAUAUUGCACUUUCUCUUUAUGAUGAAUUUCAAUUGCAAACAGGACUUUUAGAAGCAACUGCUCCUUUACUUUGCUGUUCUUAUCAGGCAACCUCAACAUGGCUAAAACUUCA